rnacentral:rRNA from 1 species
ACACAUGCAAGUCGAGCGGUAACAGARAGUAGCUUGCUACUUUGCUGACGAGCGGCGGACGGGUGAGUAAUGCUUGGGAACAUGCCUUGAGGUGGGGGACAACAGUUGGAAACGACUGCUAAUACCGCAUAAUGUCUACGGACCAAAGGGGGCUUCGGCUCUCGCCUUUAGAUUGGCCCAAGUGGGAUUAGCUAGUUGGUGAGGUAAUGGCUCACCAAGGCGACGAUCCCUAGCUGGUUUGAGAGGAUGAUCAGCCACACUGGGACUGAGACACGGCCCAGACUCCUACGGGAGGCAGCAGUGGGGAAUAUUGCACAAUGGGCGCAAGCCUGAUGCAGCCAUGCCGCGUGUGUGAAGAAGGCCUUCGGGUUGUAAAGCACUUUCAGUCAGGAGGAAAGGUUAGUAGUUAAUACCUGCUAGCUGUGACGUUACUGACAGAAGAAGCACCGGCUAACUCCGUGCCAGCAGCCGCGGUAAUACGGAGGGUGCGAGCGUUAAUCGGAAUUACUGGGCGUAAAGCGUACGCAGGCGGUUUGUUAAGCGAGAUGUGAAAGCCCCGGGCUCAACCUGGGAACUGCAUUUCGAACUGGCAAACUAGAGUGUGAUAGAGGGUGGUAGAAUUUCAGGUGUAGCGGUGAAAUGCGUAGAGAUCUGAAGGAAUACCGAUGGCGAAGGCAGCCACCUGGGUCAACACUGACGCUCAUGUACGAAAGCGUGGGGAGCAAACGGGAUUAGAUACCCCGGUAGUCCACGCCGUAAA